CAGUUUGCUCCUAGUGCUGAGUCCUGAUCUUGACAUUUUCACCCCAUCCAUUAAAAGAAAAGAAAGAAAAAGAGAAGCAAUAGCUUCUUGAUGAGUCAAAUGAGAAUCUACUGUUAGGUCAAAGAAAAAGAGGACUGAGCAGACACUGCUUUCUGCCUCUGGCCCCUCUGCUCAGUAAUCCAUGUCCUGGUUCCUAACUCUGUCUUGUCACAUCAUGCUUCUAUCCUCUUUGAAAAUGGAAAUGCUCCUGGGGGAAGUAACACAUUUAUUGGAGGCAUGUGUCUAAGACAUACCAGAGAAUCUCUAAGAACAAAUGAUGACUGGUGAUUGGGGGAUACAAAUGAUCCUACUAAAAAGAGCUUCAAAAGCAUUGCCAAUGGACAAGAAAGUGAAGAUCCCAAAGGACACAGGUCUCAUUUUACUUACUGCUACCCUUUUUUGAUAGCAGAGAGGGAAAAGAUUAGUAAGUAAACAUCUGGCCAGGCAGAUGCUGUCUGAGAAAUAGAUUUGGAUUUCUGGAGCAUGACUUGAAACAAGGAUUAUAGGUUCCUGGCCAGGGAUGAAGUAUACUAAAACAAACAAACAAACAAAAACGGGUAAGAAUGUAUUUGUCAGGAAUUCCUUUUGGAUAUGGAUUGGGCUAGAUAGCUA